CCUACGGGAGACAGCAGUGGGGGAUAUUGCACAAUGGGGGGAACCCUGAUGCAGCGACGCCGCGUGGGUGAAGAAGCGCCUCGGCGCGUAAAGCCCUGUCAGCAGGGAAGAAAAUGACGGUAACUAAAGAAGAAGCCCCGGCUAACUACGUGCCAGCAGCCGCGGUAAUACGUAGGGGGCAAGCGUUAUCCGGAUUUACUGGGUGUAAGGGGGGCGCAGACGGCGAUGCAACCCAGGAGUGAAAGCCCGGGGCCCAACCCCGGGACUGCUCUUGGAACUGCGUGGCUGGAGUGCAGGAGGGGCAGGCGGAAUUCCUGGUGUAGCGGUGAAAUGCGUAGAGAUCAGGAGGAACACCGGUGGCGAAGGCGGCCUGCUGGACUGCAACUGACGUUGAGGCGCGAAAGCGUGGGGAGCAAACAGGAUUAGAUACCCGAGUAGUC
rnacentral:rRNA from 1 species